AUUGAACGCUGGCGGAAUGCUUUACACAUGCAAGUCGAACGGCAGCACGGACUUCGGUCUGGUGGCGAGUGGCGAACGGGUGAGUAAUGUAUCGGAACGUGCCCAGUCGUGGGGGAUAACGUAGUGAAAAUUACGCUAAUACCGCAUACGAUCUAUGGAUGAAAGAGGGGGAUCGCAAGACCUCGCGCGAUUGGAGCGGCCGAUAUCGGAUGAGGGAGUUGGUGGGGUAAAGGCCCACCAAGCCAACGAUCUGUAGCUGGUCUGAGAGGACGACCAGGCACACUGGAACUGAGACACGGUCCAGACUCCUACGGGAGGCAGCAGUGGGGAAUUUUGGACAAUGGGCGAAAGCCUGAUCCAGCCAUUCCGCGUGCAGGAUGAAGGCCCUCGGGUCGUAAACUGCUUUUGUACAGAACGAAAAGGUUUCUACUAAUACUAGGAGCUCAUGACGGUACUGUAAGAAUAAGCACCGGCUAACUACGUGCCAGCCGCCGCCGUAA
rnacentral:rRNA from 1 species